rnacentral:rRNA from 1 species
UACGUGGGACCCAAGCGUUAUCCGGAUUAACUGGGCGUAAAGAGUUGCGUAGGCGGUUUGUUAAGCGAAUAGUGAAACCUGGUGGCUCAACCAUCUAGACUAUUAUUCGAACUGGCAAACUAGAGAUCAGUAGGGGUACCUGGAAUUUCUAAUGUAGGGGUAAUAUCCGUAGAUAUUAGAAGGAACACCGAUAGCGUAGGCAGGGUACUGGACUGAUUCUGACGCUCAGGCACGAAAGCGUGGGGAGCGAACCGG